GUGGAUUAGUGGCGAACGGGUGAGUAACACGUGGGUGAUCUGCCCUGCACUCUGGGAUAAGCCUGGGAAACUGGGUCUAAUACCGGAUAUGACCUCUUGCUGCAUGGCGAGGGGUGGAAAGUUUUUCGGUGCAGGAUGAGCCCGCGGCCUAUCAGCUUGUUGGUGGGGUAAUGGCCUACCAAGGCGACGACGGGUAGCCGGCCUGAGAGGGCGACCGGCCACACUGGGACUGAGACACGGCCCAGACUCCUACGGGAGGCAGCAGUGGGGAAUAUUGCACAAUGGGCGAAAGCCUGAUGCAGCGACGCCGCGUGAGGGAUGACGGCCUUCGGGUUGUAAACCUCUUUCAGCAGGGACGAAGCGAAAGUGACGGUACCUGCAGAAGAAGCACCGGCCAACUACGUGCCAGCAGCCGCGGUAAUACGUAGGGUGCGAGCGUUGUCCGGAAUUACUGGGCGUAAAGAGCUCGUAGGCGGUUUGUCGCGUC
rnacentral:rRNA from 1 species